UUUCAAGUUCGAGAAAAGAUCUCGUGCAGAUCUUUGGCAAACAUAGUAAUUUUAGAUAGCUACCCUGUACAUGUGUUUGUUGCGAAAAAAACAAAAUUAUGAUCUCUUGAAGGAAGAUACAUAGUGUCAGGUGUUGAGGAGAUACAAUAAUUUUCAAAUCUUAAAUCGGAAUUAAUAUCGGAGGAAGGCAUUGAAGAACGACAUCGGAUGAAGCAACGAUGAGUAAAUAACGAAUUCGAUUGGAUGGCUCAUUAAUUCUCGACAAGAGUAGAGGAAUCACAUACGUGACACGCAUAAACACAUUUUUCACGCUUUUCUCCAAACAUCAAACGGUGUUUGAGAAAGUGUUUUCUUUGAAAAAUUGAAAGAGGCAAACCUUGUCCAUUGAAGGCUCUAAUAAUAAAUCUAAGUAUCUCCAAGAAAGUUAAAUCUUUUAGUUCAACUUUCUGAAAAAAUUGAUGUGUUAAAAGCGAUUACCUGUAUCGGCCAUCGAGAAGAAAAACAUGAAGGUUACACGGCAAGAGAUCAUCCUGAUACGAUUUACAUGAAACGUUAUGGAUGUUAUCUAUAACUCGUAGUUUUGAACGUCCAUUAACCUUAAAUGGUGUUUAGAAAAGCGCGAUAUGAUGGAAGAGCGAUUAUGGCCUGAUUUGGCGGAAAGGGAGGUGUAUUUGUUCAUCGAGAGUAAACAAUCCGUCUAGAGACCCAUUUCCGCCUGAUCGAAAAUAGUCGCACAGAGAAAGGGUUGCGAUGGAAAACCGCAAUAAUCGAUUUUUUAAGUUUACAAAAGAGCAACAAGAAUAAUGAGAGACUAUUACGAAAAUAAGACACAAUUAGCAAAGAUUCUAAUAUAAAAGGGACAGGAUACAAUGAAAUCAUAGGAAAACCAAAAAACCGCAAACAUUUAAAAAGAAAAAUAAAAUAAUAAUGAGGAUAAUCCACAUCCUGUUGAUAUCGAAUUUUGCCUUUAUUUCGGUUCAGAGUAUCCGUUGACCAAAUUAGGACAAUCCUGGAUAUCAAAUAUUUGUGACUAAAAGCCGAAAAUAUUCCGUCCUAAAUAUUCACAAUUGAGGAAUCACGUUAUCAAAACCGAAAAAAAUUAGUUUUCUCUUUUGAAACACGUGGUUAAUAAGCCGACCAACCGUCCAUGAAGCAUAUUCUUGGUGAAGUUGAAUUCCAUUUGCCGGAAGUCUGUCGGUUCUGCCACUCUUUUCAUAUAAAAUCAGGCUUUUAUUCCAUCGAAAGCUGGAGAAAACGAAGAAAAAAGAGAAAAAGAGGGAGGGAGGGGGAGAAACGAAGCUGAACUUUCGCUGAAAUCCGAUAGCAACGUCAAAGACAAUGUUUUUCAUUCUUGAAACACGCACAAUUACAUCAGAAAUAUAAUUAUAAUCGAUUGCGUAAUCUGAUCAUCCUCGAGUCGAAUGCCAGCGCACACAUGACUCAAAUCGUUUAUUUUUGAGCUUCGUUGCGUUUUGAUAAGAAAAAUGUACAAUGAUGUUUUGAUGUUCCUUCUUAGCAGAAUUCUUAGCGGAAUUCUGUUUUAUGUGAUUUUUUUACUUGUUAGGAUAUAAGAUUGAUUUGUAAUAAUCAAAAUAAUAAUCAAAAAAGUUUUUUUAUAUAGGAUUUUUAUAGGAAGAAAAUUUUUUCAAAGAAAGAAAAUUUUUUCUGAAUUUUUAAAUAAAAAGAGAUUUAUCAAUUACAUCGAAAUAAGUAUCAAGAGUUUAAGUUUUAUUCAUUGAUAUUUCUGCAUUCUGUUUAUUGAAUGAUUUUGAUUCUGGUCAAAUAUCAAAAUUUGAUCGAAAUAUUUAUUACAUUUUGAUUAGAUUUGUUAAAGCGAUAAAAAAUAAUAAAACUGAAAAAAUUCUCUCAA